AUUGAACGCUGGCGGCAUGCCUUACACAUGCAAGUCGAACGGUAACAGGUCUUCGGCUGCUUACGAGUGGCGAACGGGUGAGUAAUACAUCGGAACGUUCUCAGACGCGGGGGAGAACGAGGCGGGAGCUUUGCUACUACCGCAUACGAGCUGAGGAUGAAAGCGGGAUAGCGGGAGGGCUUUCUCGUUUUGGGCGGCGGUUGGCAGAUAAGGUAGUUGGUGGGGUAUAAGCUUACAAAGACGACGAUCUGUAUCUGGUCUGAGAGGACGACGAGCGACACUGGGAGUGAGACACGGCCCAGAGUCCUACGGGAGGCAGCAGUGGGGAAUUUUGGAAAAUGGGCGAAAGCCUGAUCCAGCAAUGCCGCGUGCAGGAUGAAGGCCUUCGGGUUGUAAACUGCUUUUGUACGGAACGAAAAGGCUCUGGCUAAUACCUGGGGCACAUGACGGUACCGUAAGAAUAAGCACCGGCUAACUACGUG
rnacentral:rRNA from 1 species